UACGAAGGGGGGCUAGCGUUGCUCGGAAUCACUGGGCGUAAAGGGUGCGUAGGCGGGUCUUUAAGUCGAGGGGAUGAAAUCCUGGAGCUCAACUCCAGAACUGCCUUUGAUACUGAAGAUCUUGAGUUCGGGAGAGGUGAGUGGAACUGCGAGUGUAGAGGUGAAAUUCGUAGAUAUUCGCAAGAACACCAGUGGCGAAGGCGGCUCACUGGCCCGAUACUGACGCUGAGGCACGAAAGCGUGGGGAGCAAACAGG
rnacentral:rRNA from 1 species